UCUCCACCCUCCUUCUG
rnacentral:miRNA from 1 species